GUUAUCUGACAAACUUCUGAGGAAGUAACCCCUUAAUUUCCCACUCUACUUUGUUGCAGAAACAUGUGGAAUUCAUUCAAAAUACCUGAGACCUGUCUAUCCAACCAAAACCUUGCCUAAUCACUACACCAUUGUCACGGGCUUAUAUCCGGAAUCACAUGGCAUCAUUGACAAUAAUAUGUAUGACGUAAACCUCAACAAGAGCUUUUCAAUUUUUUCAAAGGGGACAUUUGAUCCAGCUUGGUGGCAUGGACAACCAGUCUGGCUGACAGCAAUGAAUCAAGGCUUAAAAGCUGGCACCUACUUUUGGCCAGGAUCAGACGUGGCUAUAAAUGGCUCCUUUCCUUCCUUAUAUAUGGUUUACAACAGAAGUGUCCCAUAUGAAGAGAGAAUCUCUACAUUGCUAACCUGGCUGGACCUGCCCAAAGCUGAAAGACCUGAUUUUUAUACCCUGUAUGUGGGACAGCCUGAUUCCGCAGGUCAUGAAAAAGGACCAGUCAGUGCCGCAGUAA